GAGUUUGAUUCUGGCUCAGGACGAACGCUGGCGGCGUGCGUAACACAUGCAAGUUGAACGACGGUGUCAUGAAGUGGUAACACGGAAUGGCAUACGGAGUAGCGGACGGGUGAGUACAACAUGAGAAGCUGUCCAAUAGUGGGGGAUAACGUUCGGAAACGGACCCUAAUACCCCAUAGGCCUUUUGGUUAAAGCAGCGAUGCGCUAUUGGAGGUGCUCGUGUCCUAUCAGCUGGUUGGUGAGGUAACGGCUCACCAAGGCGACGACGGGUAGCCGGCCUGAGAGGGUGUCCGGCCACACUGGAACUGAGAUACGGUCCAGACUCCUACGGGAGGCAGCAGUGGGGAAUAUUGGGCAAUGGGAGAAAUCCUGACCCAGCGACGCCGCGUGAACGAAGAAGGCCUUCGGGUCGUAAAGUUCUUUUAUGUGGGGAGAAGGAAGUGACGUACCACAUGAAUAAGCCCC
rnacentral:rRNA from 1 species